UCUAUCUGCAAGAAGAAGAAUGAAAAGUGAAGUCUUUCACUAACAUGAGUAAAAUGGGCCAUGAGUAUAGAGUGGAGGUCUGGAGCCAUCUUUAUAUUGUCUGUCACUAACUUCUUGUUUGACCUUGGAAGCCACGAAAUUCUUCAGAAUCUUAGUUUCCACUUAUGUAAAAUUAGACAGCGGUUUGGUUUUUCAGUAGGAGAGAUUAACAUCAUGAAGGCUGCUCAUCUUCACUUAGAACACUCAACAAAAUCGUACCAUUCUCUGCAUGGAUAGUCACUGGGUCCGAAGGUUCAGAGGGCUGGCUGAUGUUGACUGCUGUCUUGGCAAUUGCUCUGAAUUGGUACUGAGCAUUCUCUUCUAAGCCAGUGACUGUGUACUCUUCGUGGGGAAUCUGGUGUGGUGUAGUAUUGCACCGUACCCACUUAUCACCAGGAAGUUUGCAAGCCUCUACGAAAUAGCCAAUAAUUUUGCUUCCUCCAUCAUGCUUCGGUCGGGCCCAGAUGAGGGAUACAGUACUCUUGG